UUAUUUGUUCAUGUCAUUAUUGCUGAGUUUGUUCCUCGUCUUCAAAUAGGUGUGGCAUGGAGAAGGAACAACUUGACAGGAAUCAACUACACAAGGAGCAUAGAGGUGUUUGUCUGCCCAGGACAUGCUUAGUUCCUCCACCUAGAAGCAAAAAGGUUGGUUUUAGUCUUUUUGAUAUUUUGUCCUAGAUUUAGUUGUUUCCUGAAUUCCUGCUGCAAUUUUGUGGUUAAAAGGGUAAGUGUAAUGGAAACUUCAUUUGGUGCCCACUUUCUCAUUCUCCCAUGUUUCUGAUGCUCUCACAUGGCAUCGUAGGUUGGGUUACACCAGUACAGCUCUUAAAAUGUUCUACUUGCCCUUUACUUCAGUCAGUGUUGCCACUGUGUUGAUUGGUCUGUCGUGCUGCCACUGUCGUAACCUUCAAUUUCACUUCGUUUAUUGUUCUGAUUUUACAUGUAUUAACAAAUUCGUUGGUUGUGCCCCUGGAUGUGCCUGUCAGAAGCAAUGUUUCCUAGCGUCUAAACAACAUGCCAUGCCUUGGUAUGUCAUGGCCCAGCAAAGAGCUUACUUUUCAGAUAUUGAUGCGUUCAAACUACAAGAGGAGGAGGUUUCACCGUUUCAGAAAGUGAGUUGGAUUGAUGGCAGGGGUCUUGUAGCCAUGUUGUGAUGAUUUUAACCUAAGCACUGGUGUCCUGUAUAAAGAAUGGUGAAACAUAGUUUUCAAGUAACUGGUUAUCUCGGCGACUGAUUAGUGAUUACUUGCUGUCUACUAUAUUAUUGAUAUUAGUUAGUCAUGUCUACUCAUUGUAGGC
rnacentral:lncRNA from 1 species